rnacentral:rRNA from 1 species
GGGAUAGAAUUCCAGGAGUAGCGGUGAAAUGCGUAGAUAUCUGGAGGAAUACCAAAGGCGAAGGCAGUCCCCUGGUCCGAUACUGACACUGAGGUACGAAAGCGUGGGGAGCAAACAGGAUUAGAUACCCUGGUAGUCCACGCCCUAAACGAUGUCGAUUAGCCAUUGGAAGGACCCCUUUUCCUUUCAGUGACGUAGCUAACGCGUUAAAUCGACCGCCUGGGAAGUACGACCGCAAGGUUAAAACUCAAAGGAAUUGACGGGGACCUGAACAAGCGGUGAAUGAUGUGGAUUAAUUCGAUGCUACGCGAAGAACCUUACCUACCUUUGACAUGGCCAAAGUUCUACCGAGAGGCGGAAGUACUCGUAAGAGGAUUGGCGCACAGGUGCUGCAUGGUUGUCGUCAGUUCGUGUCGUGAGAUGUUGGGUUCAGUCCCGCAAUGAACGCAACCCUUAUCUUUAAUUGCUCCUAUUUUAACAGGCACUUUAAAGAAACUGCCAAUGAUAAGUUGGAGGAAGGUGGGGAUCACGUCAAGUCCGCAUGGCCUUUAUAGGUAGGGCUUCACACGUCAUACAAUGGUUAGAACAAAGAGCUGCAAAUUCGUAAGAAGGAGCCAAUCUCACAAACCUAACCUCAGUUCGAAUUGCGGUCUGCAACUCGAGCGCAUGAAGCCGGAAUCGCUAGUAAUCGUGGAUCAGAAUGCCACGGUGAAUACGUUCUUAGGUCUU